rnacentral:rRNA from 1 species
GACGAACGCUGGCGGCGUGCCUAAUACAUGCAAGUAGAACGCUGAAGAGAGGAGCUUACUCUUCUUGGAUGAGUCGCGAACGGGUGAGUAACGCGUAGGUAACCUGCCUUGUAGCGGGGGAUAACUAUUGGAAACGAUAGCUAAUACCGCAUAACAAUGGAUGACACAUGUCAUUUAUUUGAAAGGGGCAAUUGCUCCACUACAAGAUGGACCUGCGUUGUAUUAGCUAGUAGGUGAUGUAAUGGCUCACCUAGGCGACGAUACAUAGCCGACCUGAGAAGGUGAUCGGCCACACUGGGACUGAGACACGGCCCAGACUCCUACGGGAGGCAGCAGUAGGGAAUCUUCGGCAAUGGGGGCAACCCUGACCGAGCAACGCCGCGUGAGUGAAGAAGGUUUUCGGAUCGUAAAGCUCUGUUGUAAGUCAAGAACGGGUGUGAGAGUGGAAAGUUCACACUGUGACGGUAGCUUACCAGAAAGGGACGGCUAACUACGUG